GACGAACGCUGGCGGCGUGCCUAAUACAUGCAAGUCGAGCGAAGUUUUUCUGGUGCUUGCGCUAGAAAAACUUAGCGGCGAACGGGUGAGUAACACGUAAAGAACCUGCCUCAUAGACUGGGACAACUAUUGGAAACGAUAGCUAAUACCGGAUAACAGUAUUUCUCGCAUGAGAGAUAUUUAAAAGUUGGUUAUGCUAACACUAUGAGAUGGCUUUGCGGUGCAUUAGCUAGUUGGUGGGGUAAAGGCCCACCAAGGCGACGAUGCAUAGCCGACCUGAGAGGGUGAUCGGCCACACUGGGACUGAGACACGGCCCAGACUCCUACGGGAGGCAGCAGUAGGGAAUCUUCCGCAAUGGGCGAAAGCCUGACGGAGCAACGCCGCGUGAGUGAAGAAGGAUUUCGGUUCGUAAAGCUCUGUUGUUAGGGAAGAAUGGAUAUGUAGUAACUAUACAUGUAAGAGACGGUACCUAACCAGAAAGCCACGGCUAACUACGUG
rnacentral:rRNA from 1 species